rnacentral:rRNA from 1 species
GACGUAGGAUGCGAGCGUUGUUCGGAUUUAUUGGGCGUAAAGCGUACGUAGGCGGCUGCCUAAGUCUGGUGUUAAAGCUAGAGGCUCAACCUCUGUGAUGCACUGGAAACUGGGCGGCUUGAGAGCGGUAGGGGAAGGUGGAAUUCCGAGUGUAGCGGUGAAAUGCGUAGAUAUUCGGAAGAACACCGGUGGCGAAGGCGACCUUCUGGGCCGUUUCUGACGCUGAGGUACGAAAGCGUGGGGAGCAAACAGG